AUGGCAUGUUCAGUGAUUCAGAUUUAGAGAUAAUAAAGAGACUGUCCGGAUGCUUAAAUCAUAGCCCGGAAAAAGUGACGCAACAAGGUGAACAUGAAUCACUUAACCGAGACAUACUGGCUAUUUUGGGAGAAAAAUGGGAGUUUGACCCGAUCAUCGACUUGAGCAAUCCAUUCCCUGACAACAAUGGCUCUGUUCAUAUUUGGCAAGGCCGUGAAGACCGUGUCGUUGCUCUUGAGUUUAAUCGUUUUAUAGCAGAGAAACUUCCUUGGAUUCAAUAUCAUGAAGUUCCUG
rnacentral:misc_RNA from 1 species